rnacentral:misc_RNA from 1 species
CAGAACGGUGAACGCCCGUUGUACAACAGUCUCAUUCAUUGCACGGUUACUUGUUAAGGUUGCCUAUUUACGGCUCACAUUCCGUAGACUAGACGGUUCAUUUACGUUAAAACGCGAUUUACAUUUAGCCGAAAAAGAUGUUUACCCCAUAUUUCUAUCCCCCUUUUCUGUUUGCCUUCGGAUAUGCACGAUUGCGUGGAUGAAAAUCGUAUACUGUGGAAAAUUUCACGCUAUACUGAUAAUCGAUUAAUUCGCGAUACCUUGGACAGGCUUUGGCCGUUAUUUUCUAAAUAUACACAAUGUUUUUGUAUUACUCUGUUACUCUUCUUGGUACCCGCCACUUACACGGUAAUAAAUGCACAUACGGAAUUAAGUUACAUGCAUCUAUUCAGCCACAACUAACUGACGCAAUUAAACGGACUCGUCGGUUUUGCGAAAUUCAGUUUCCAUCGUGUUGUAUAUACUUUCCUUUUCACGUGACUCAAUGUCAUGAUAAGAGUGAUGGUACGAGAACUAUUCUCUUUUCCGUUUCCGCGAGUUAUACGCUAACUGUGGUUUCACGCGCACUAACCUCUGCUGAUGUCUGGGCCACGAAUGCGACCCCAACACUUGACAAUGAAGUUUCUCUUUUCCAACAACCGUAGGAUAGAUAUUGUUCUAUUGUUUUGUUUGCGUUCCACUUUGCUUUCGUGCGCGUUAGAGAUUCCACCGGUAUGAUGAACCUUUAAAAAUAUUUUAUCGAACUAGACGUAAUUGAACACAAUACACAAGU